AAAGGCUAAAUCUUGCCUUGAGUCUUACUAUCCAACAUUAAAAACUGGUGCAUUAGUUGUAUAUCUUUGAAUCAAAGUUGGGUUUGGGCUGAAUCAUUUCAUGCGUUCAAAAUGCAGUGUCUUCCCUCCUCAGUUACUUAUAUCCCCCCCUUUUUUUUUCUUUUUUUUUUCUUUUGCUUUAAAUGAAGGUUCGUGCAUUCAAAAAUGCAACAUCUUUCCCUGCUUAGGUAACUCAUCUCCUUUUUUUUUUUUUCUUUAAAUGAAGGUUGGGGAGAACGGCUAUGGAUCUAUUCCUUCAUAUUCUUCAAAGCCAUAUGGAGGAGUGUGACGGUAUUGGUGAACCCAACGUGGAACCACAGUUUUUGGAAUGGGUUGAUGAAGUAGCAAACUGUCAUUACUCUGAAGGCAUGGGCUAUACCAUCUGCGAUGUAUGUGAAGGUAAAGCGACAAUCCAGACAUAACUGUAAACCAUACAAAACUGUAGAUCUACAUCUCUCUCAUUAUACAUGAUAUAUGCAUAUGAGAUGCUGAUAUUACAACAUUUUUCCUCUGUGGUUCCUCCAAAAGUGUUUUCUCUUCGGCACUUGCCAAUGUAGUUCUUUGGGUUGGGCUGCAGCCCUUGUAAUUUUUCUGCUUCCUUUCUUCAAUGCAUAUGAUGCAAGGGAACUGAUAAUAAAUGUGACUCACAUUAUAGCUGAAAUUCGAUGUUUCCGUCUCUUUUGACUUGCAUGGUACAAGUUUCAGCUGAUUCUGGACAUUCAUGGAAGAAGUAUGGGCCGAUAUACGUCCUGGAUGAACAUUUGAGUGUGAUUCAACCAGUUUCUUAACAGACUGCGAAUGAGACACUACAUAUUCUAUUGCAAUUAGUUGAAGCUAUAGGUAGAAUUUGUAUUUCAGAAUCCAUGGAAAUAGGGGAAUUGUUAGGGCAAAAUUCAAGUAUAACUUGCCACCCAAAUCAAUGAGAAAUAAGGCAUGGGUUUUCA